AGGACAAACGCUGGCGGCGUGCCUAAGACAUGCAAGUCGAACGGAGGACUUCGGUCCUUAGUGGCGGACGGGUGAGGAGCGCGUGGAGAACCUGCCCCGGGGUGGGGGAUAACAGUCGGAAACGAUUGCUAAGACCGCAUACGACCAUUCGUUGCAGGAUGAAUGGGGAAAGCAGUGAUGUGCCCUGGGAGGGCUCCGCGUCGGAUUAGCUAGUUGGUGGGGUAACGGCCUACCAAGGCUGCGAUCCGUAGCUGGUCUGAGAGGACGGCCAGCCACACUGGGACUGAGACACGGCCCAGACUCCUACGGGAGGCAGCAGUUAGGGAAUUUUCGUCAAUGGGGGAAACCCUGAACGAGCAACGCCGCGUGCAGGAAGAAGGUUUUCGGAUCGUAAACUGCUUUUCUGUGGGAAGAGAACGGACGGUACCACAGGAAGAAGCCCCGGAUAACUACGUGCCAGCAGCCGC
rnacentral:rRNA from 1 species